AACUAACGCUGGCGGCGUGCCUAACACAUGCAAGUCGUACGAGAAAGUUGGCUUCGGCCGAUGAGUACAGUGGCGCACGGGUGAGUAACGCGUGGAUAAUCUGCCCUUAAGUGUGGAAUAACGUACCGAAAGGUGCGCUAAUACCGCAUAAUGCCUGGCAACAUAAGUUGUCCGGCCAAAGAAGGCCUCUGCUUGCAAGCUUUCGCUAAAGGAUGAGUCCGCGUACCAUUAGCUAGUUGGUGGGGUAACGGCCUACCAAGGCGACGAUGGUUAGCUGGUCUGAGAGGAUGAUCAGCCACACUGGAACUGAGACACGGUCCAGACUCCUACGGGAGGCAGCAGUGAGGAAUAUUGCGCAAUGGGGGCAACCCGUGACGCAGCAACGCCGCGUGAGUGAGGAAGGUUUUCGGACUGUAAAGCUCUGUCGAGCGGGAAGAAGUGUACCAUGGCUAAUAUCCAUGAUAUUUGACGGUACCGCUAGA
rnacentral:rRNA from 1 species